AUUGAACGCUGGCGGCAGGCCUAACACAUGCAAGUCGAACGAGUGGCGGACGGGUGAGUAAUGUCUGGGAAACUGCCCGAGGGAGGGGGAUAACUACUGGAAACGGUAGCUAAUACCGCAUACAAUCGGAUGUGCCCAGAUGGGAUUAGCGAGUAGGUGGGGUAACGGCACACCGAGGAGUCGAUCCCUAGCUGGUGUGAGAAGAUGACCAGCCACACUGGAACUGAGACACGGUCCAGACUCCUACGGGAGGCAUCAUUGGGGAAUAUUGCGCAAUGGGCGCAAUCCUGAUGCAGCCAUGCCGCGUGUAUGAAGAAGGCCUUCGGGUUGUAAAGUACUUUCAGCGAGGAGGCGUUACUCGCAGAAGAAGCACCGGCUAACUCCGUGCCAGCAGCCGCGGUAAUAC
rnacentral:rRNA from 1 species